UUAAAUCCGUGUACAUUCCGAAUUCUUCUUUAAAUUAUAACCAUUUACUAAUAAAUAUAUCAACAAUCUUAAAGCUUUAGUAAUACCAACCAUGGGGUCCUCACAAUUAAGUGUUUUCAUUGUCCUGAUUUUAGUAACUGUUGCAGCGGCAAGAAACUGUAUUUACUAUAAGACCAGUAAAAGAUAUGCUAAUGGUUCAACAUUUCAACUACCCGAUGGCGGUAGAUGCAUAACUUAUAAAUGUUUUAAUGGAGCAAUUAGACCAGAUAAUGUGGAAUGCUACAAUAUACCUGAUGAAAAAUGUUAUCCUAUCGGCACAAUUAUAACCAACAAAUGUAUAACCAAUAAAUGUGUUUACCGAAUUGAAGCAGGUUUCAAAAGAAUAAAAACACAAUGUUCUGAUAAAGAUGGUAACUGUCACGAUCCGGGUGAGAUAUUUCCACUUGAGAUUAAAAAUACUACGUACGAUUCGUGUCAAUGUAAAAUCUUAGAAGAAAGAAAUCAGAUAUCUUACAGAUGUACUUCAAUUAAAGCAAAUUAAA